rnacentral:rRNA from 1 species
AGGGUUUGAUCCUGGCUCAGGAUGAACGCUAGCGGCAGGCUUAACACAUGCAAGUCGAGGGGUAGAAGCAGCUUGCUGCUUUGAGACCGGCGCACGGGUGCGUAACGCGUAUACAAUCUACCUUUUACAGAGGGAUAGCCCAGAGAAAUUUGGAUUAAUACCUCAUAGUAUUUUCGAAUCGCAUGGUUUGAUUAUUAAAGUUCCAACGGUAAAAGAUGAGUAUGCGUCCCAUUAGCUAGAUGGUAAGGUAACGGCUUACCAUGGCAACGAUGGGUAGGGGUCCUGAGAGGGAGAUCCCCCACACUGGUACUGAGACACGGACCAGACUCCUACGGGAGGCAGCAGUGAGGAAUAUUGGACAAUGGGCGCAAGCCUGAUCCAGCCAUGCCGCGUGCAGGAAGACGGUCCUAUGGAUUGUAAACUGCUUUUUAUACAGGAAGAAACACACCCUCGUGAGGGUACUUGACGGUACUGUAUGAAUAAGCAUCGGCUAACUCCGUGCCAGCAGCCGCGGUAAUACGGAGGAUGCAAGCGUUAUCCGGAAUCCUUGGGUUUAAAGGGUCC